CCUGUCACUCUGUGCAAAGCUAUGUCAGAAUACUCCAGCAGCCCAUGUGAAGAGGAACUGAGCUCUCAAGACAGCAACUAGAGCAGCCCAUAGUAAUGUGGAAUUAUCAACUUUAUGAAGAGUAAAGCUUUAAUUCAGUGAAUUCUGUCUUGAAAAGUUAGUAAAGCCUUUUAGGAAACAUUUGACAGGAUACUGCUGAAACCGGUGGAGGAGAGGGAAGGAAAGAAGAGGAAAAGAGAGGGAAGAAAGAGAACAAGCUACGUAUUUAACAUCUUUUAAAGCACGAAACGGCAUGAUUACAUAAUGCAGUGAGAUCAGCAGAUUUCGCCCUUGCCUCCACACAGUGCUUAAUUUCACGUUAUAUAUGGAAACCCUCCAAGAGGAAAGCGGAAUCACUCGAUUUGAAGUUAUUUAGGAAAAUAGAGAACAUAAGUAAAUAGUUGAAAACUUUAAAGAGAGCACCUCCCACAGCCCAUUUAGCAGAAGAGGUUGUGGUGAUGAGCUUCCAUAGCUUUUCUCUCCUCUUGGCUGCCAUGUUAGCACUGUGUCUUCUGUAUUAAAUGUGUUGAAGUCAUGCAAUAUGGACACACUAUCCUAACAAAAUAAAUAAAAGCAGAAGUUGUAACUUA